rnacentral:rRNA from 1 species
GAUGAACGCCGGCGGCGUGCCUCAUACAUGCAAGUCGAGCGAACAGACGAGGUGCUUGCUCCUCUGUCGUUAGCGCCUGACGGGUGAGUAACACGUGGUUAGCCUACCUAUCUGACUUGGAUAACUUCGGGAAACCGGAUCUAAUCACGGCUAAUAUAUUGAACCGCAUGAUUCAAUACUGAAAGACGGGUUUGCUGCCUCUUAUACAUGUAUCCUGGCUGCAUUAGCUAUUUGGUAAGGUAACGGCUUACCAAGGCAACGAGGCGUAGCCGACCUCAGGGGGUGAUGGGCCAUACGGGGACUGGGACACGGUCCAGACUCCUGCGGGAGGCGGGAGAAGGGAAUCUUAGGCAAUGGGCGAAAGCCUGACGGAGAAACGCCGCGUGAGUGAUGAGGGUAUUCGGAUCGUAAAACUCUGUUAGUAGGGAAGAACAAAUGUGUAAGUAACUAUGCACGUCUUGACGGUAACUAAUCAGAAAGCCACGGCUAACUACGUG